GAUCCUCGGCGGAAGGAAAAAGGACGUCUUACCACAGUGAAGUCCUCUUUUUUUCUGUGCUUUACCCAAGUCCACCACUGCGCCACUAGAUGGCAGUGUUGCACCUUUUUGCCAUAAUUUAACAGGCACAAUUCAACU